CUGACAGUCCUGGAAACAAAAGCCCUCUUUUAUCGAUAGGACAGGUACAGCACAGACAGUAGCGGUCUAUGUGCUCCCACACUGCCCUGUGAAUAUGCCAAACCUAGUAAGAUCACUUCCAAUGGUGAAAGAAUAGUUCAUUAGCCAUGCCCAGUUUGUCCUUGGCCAAU
ensembl:misc_RNA